GAAUCUGCCCUUAGGAGAAGAAUAACUGCUGGAAACGGUUGCUAAAUCUUCAUAUGUCGAGAGAUGAAAUAGCUUAAGCUGCCUAAGGAUGAGCUCACGCCUGAUUAGCUUGUUGGUGAGGUAAUGGCUCACCAAGGCCACGAUCAGUAGCUGGUUUGAGAGAACGACCAGCCACACUGGGACUGAGACACGGCCCAGACUCCUCCGGGAGGCAGCAGUGAGGAAUUUUCCGCAAUGGGCGAAAGCCUGACGGAGCAAUACCGCGUGAGGGAUGAAGGAUUUUGGUCUGUAAACCUCUUUUCUCAAGAAAGAAGUUCUGACGGUACUUGAGGAAUAAGCAUCGGCUAACUCCGUGCCAGCAGCCGCGGUAAUACGGGGGAUGCAAGCGUUAUCCGGAAUGAUUGGGCGUAAAGCGCCUGUAGGUUGUUUAUUAAGUCCGUUGUUAAAGCCUAGGGCUCAACCCUAGAAAAGCAAUGGAAACUAGUAGACUAGAGUAUGGCAGGGGUAGAGGGAAUUUNUAGUGUAGCGGUGAAAUGCGUAGAUAUUAGAAAGAACACCGGUGGCGAAAGCGCUCUACUGGACCAUNNNUNNNNGNNAGAGGCGAAAGCUAGGGUAGCA
rnacentral:rRNA from 1 species